rnacentral:rRNA from 1 species
GACGAACGCUGGCGGCGUGCUUAACACAUGCAAGUCGAACGGAAAGUGCUCUUCGGAGUGACUCGAGUGGCGAACGGGUGAGUAACACGUGGGUGAUCUGCCCUGCACUUUGGGAUAAGCCUGGGAAACUGGGUCUAAUACCGAAUAGGACUCCGGAUCGCAUGGUCUGGGGUGGAAAGCUUUUGCGGUGUGGGAUGGGCCCGCGGCCUAUCAGCUUGUUGGUGGGGUGAUGGCCUGCCAAGGCGACGACGGGUAGCCGGCCUGAGAGGGUGUCCGGCCACACUGGGACUGGGAUACGGCCCAGACUCCUACGGGAGGCAGCAGUGGGGAAUAUUGCACAAUGGGCGCAAGCCUGAUGCAGCGACGCCGCGUGAGGGAUGACGGCCUUCGGGUUGUAAACCUCUUUCACCAGGGACGAAGCGUAAGUGACGGUACCUGGAGAAGAAGCACCGGCCAACUACGUGCCAGCCGCCGCCGUAA